rnacentral:piRNA from 1 species
UUGGAGCUUGUGAACUUGGCAAAGU